GGGUGCGAUCAUACCAGUUUUAAUGCACCGGAUACCAUCGAAACUCCGCAGUUAAGCGGGCUUGGGCUAGAGUAGUACUGGAAUGGGUGACCUCCCAGAAAGUCAUAGUGUUGCACCCU
rfam:Picea glauca, whole genome shotgun sequence.